rnacentral:rRNA from 1 species
GUGAACAUACCUAUUUGUUGCCUCGGCGGUGCCUGUUCCGACAGCCCGCCAGAGGACCCCAAACCCUGAUUACAUUUAAGAAGUCUUCUGAGUAAACCGAUUAAAUAAAUCAAAACUUUCAACAACGGAUCUCUUGGUUCUGGCAUCGAUGAAGAACGCAGCGAAAUGCGAUAAGUAAUGUGAAUUGCAGAAUUCAGUGAAUCAUCGAAUCUUUGAACGCACAUUGCGCCCGCUAGUAUUCUGGCGGGCAUGCCUGUCCGAGCGUCAUUUCAACCCUCAAGCCCCCGGGCUUGGUGUUGGGGAUCGGCGAGCCUCCGCGCCCGCCGUCCCCUAAAUCUAGUGGCGGUCUCGCUGUAGCUUCCUCUGCGUAGUAGCACACCUCGCACUGGGAAACAGCGCGGCCACGCCGUUAAACCCCCAACUUCUGAACGUUUGACCUCGGAUCAGGUAGGAAUACCCGCUGAACUUAAGCAUAUCAAU